rnacentral:rRNA from 1 species
CCGCAUGGUCUGGUGGUGGAAAGAUUUUUUGGUUGGGGAUGGACUCGCGGCCUAUCAGCUUGUUGGUGAGGUAAUGGCUCACCAAGGCGACGACGGGUAGCCGGCCUGAGAGGGUGACCGGCCACACUGGGACUGAGACACGGCCCAGACUCCUACGGGAGGCAGCAGUGGGGAAUAUUGCACAAUGGGCGAAAGCCUGAUGCAGCAACGCCGCGUGAGGGAUGACGGCCUUCGGGUUGUAAACCUCUUUUAGUAGGGAAGAAGCGAAAGUGACGGUACCUGCAAAAAAAGCACCGGCUAACUACGUGCCAGCAGCCGCGGUAAUACGUAGGGUGCAAGCGUUGUCCGGAAUUAUUGGGCGUAAAGAGCUCGUAGGCGGUUUGUCGCGUCUGCUGUGAAAUCCCGAGGCUCAACCUCGGGCUUGCAGUGGGUACGGGCAGACUAGAGUGCGGUAGGGGAGAUUGGAAUUCCUGGUGUAGCGGUGGAAUGCGCAGAUAUC